UCUCCUCUUUUUGCUUAAAGAUGAUUUGCUUUUUGGCAGUACCCAUCUCCUAUCAGCCAGGGACAAAGUGAUUCCUUGUUCAUCCCCAGCUUGGCUUCUGAUCUGUGCCCAUGCCUGGUCCAUGCCUUGGACACAUGG
ensembl:snoRNA